rnacentral:misc_RNA from 1 species
GAUGAAGAACGCAGCGAAAUGCGAUACGUAGUGUGAAUUGCAGAAUUCAGUGAAUCAUCGAAUCUUUGAACGCACAUUGCACCUCUCGGUAUUCCGGGAGGUAUGCCUGUUCGAGCGUCAUUUGUACCCUCAAGCUCUGCUUGGUGUUGGGUGUUUGUUCCGCCUCUGUGUGUGAACUCGCCUCAAAACAAUUGGCAGCCGGCGUACUUGUUUCGGAGCGCAGCACAUUUUGCGAUCCAGAUCAACGUACAGCGGCAUCCAAGAAGCCUUAUUUAACGCUCUUGACCUCGGAUCAGGUAGGGAUACCCGCUGAACUUAAGCAUAUCAAUAAGGAGGA